GACCGUGACGUCACGAGGGGUGGAGCCGUGACAUAACGAUGCUCCGGCCCCUGUACUGCCCAUCAUUACGUGCAGAGCGAACUCGCUCUGUGCUGUAAUGAUAGCGCAGUGCCACAGCGGGGAUCCCAGGUGAGCGAGUUUUCAUAAUUUGCACUCCCUCAUCGCUCAGCCCGCAUUGAUUCCACACAGGGAGCGCUCCGUUGUUUUUUUUUUUUUUUAUCUUCUCAACCCUAUAACUUUUUUAUUUUUCCGCAUAUGGGCCAGUAUGAGGGAUAAUUUUUUGCGCCGUGAUCUGAAGUUUUUAUUGGUACAAUUUAUAUUGAUCUGACUUUUUGAUCACUUUUUAUAAAUUUUUUCAUGAUAUAAAAAGAAACAAAAAAUACGCUAUUUUAGACUUUGGAAUUUUAUUGCGCAUACGCGGUUUAAUUAACGAUAUAUUUUCCGCACGUGGAGAUACCACAUAUGUUUAUUUUUAUUUACACAGUUUUUUUUAAAUGGGAAAAGGUGGGUGAUUCUUACUUUUAUUAAGGAAGGUGUUAAAUGAUCUUUAUUAACUUUUUUUUUUUUAUACUUUUUUUUGUAGUGUUAUAGCCCCCUCUGGUGGCUAUUUCACUGCACAUACCAAUCUCAUACACAGAUCAUUGCCGUGCAUUGAUAUGGCAAAGAUCAGUGUAAUCGGCGGUCGAUUGCUCAAGCCUGGAUCUCAGGCUUGGAGCAAUCAAUCGCAGAUCGGAUGCGACUCAGGCAGGUGAGGGGACCUCUGCUCGCGUUCUAGCUGAUCGGACAUCGCGAUUUCACCGCGAUGGACCUGAUCAGCCCGACUGAGCUGCCGGGAAGCUUUUACUUUCAUUUUAGAUGCAACGAUCAACUUUGAUUGCCGCGUCUAAAGGGUUAAUACGGCGCGGUACAAAAAUCGGUGCCGCACGCUAUUAGCCUAGGGUCUCGGCAGUCAUUAGCCACCGGGACCGAUCCGGUAUGACGCGGGGUCACAGCAUAACCCCGUGUUUUAUACAAUGACCGGGCGCAGAGCGUACAGGUACGCCCUGCGUCCUUAAAGGCAAUCUUACAGUCACCUGCACUACCUUGAAUUUAUAGGUAGAUAGUGCAGAUGCCCAGUUUCUACCGUCGCUCACCAUGUGAACAUCAGCGCAAUCGCUCUGGAGACAUCGGUCUCGCCGCCAAUGCAAAUUCCCUGUUCUACCCAAUGGAGAAGAGAGAAAUCAUUGCUCAUACUACAGCAGCCACCUUCAUUGCACACAACAAGGAACCCACAUAUCUGCACGGUAAAAGGCGUCAUAAACCGGGUCACCCUGGUGUCAGAUUCCCUUUGAAAAAAUUAAGUACUCAUAAUUGGUAUCGGCGAAUACUAGAAUUAAAGUAUCGGUACUCAUACUCUGUCUUAAAAAAAUGGUAUUGGGACAUCCCUAGUCUUAAUAAUUGUAGUGAAUGUAGAUCACAGAGAGAUCUGUUUUCACUUCUACAUUAAGUAAAAGGUUUAUGUCCAGAAACUAGACUAAAAUAAUCAACUGUUGUUGCACUAAGAAAAAAAAAAAUAAUAAAGUCCAGCGGCAGGAGCUGUGACGUAAAAGUGGACACAGAGGCAAUAGGCAGUUUCAAUGUAACUCAAUAGCUAAGAAUGUUUAUCUGUAAAAAAAUAAAGUUUUCCUGCAGAUAAAUACCAGGCGCAUGCAUCAAAUUACCUGGUUAUCUUUGGUGAGAUGUUUGUUUUUUGGCAAACUUAUUACUAUUUCUACUUUGGAAUAUUCUAACACUGGGCAAAAAAAGAUUGGGCAGAUUGCUCUUACAAUCAUAUCAUCUUGUCAGUAAUAAUAUUUAUAUUACGUUUAGCACCAAAAACAUCACAUUAAAUGCAAGUUUGGAAGAUUUUCAGAUUACUCCUAAAUUAAUAAAAUGUACGGUAUACCAGAGGAAAAAAAUAACCCACAAAAAUAGCUAUUCCACAGCGUAAAUGGAUUACAUAUUUUUUCUUAAAAAAAUACAAAUAUUUUCUUAGAAUUAGCAAUCAGCUCAUGAUUUUACACUAUAUGUUUUUACAAUAUUAAAUAAUUACAUUUUCUUUAUUUACAUAAGAAUGUGGAUACUUUGUCAUAUAUUACUUUAUAUUUGUCUUACAGUAUGAGAAUUUUACACAUUUUAUACAACAAAGAAACCGAUGAAUUAUUUAAGCCUUAAAUUGUUUAUAUAAAUUCAUGGGAACCUCAGGUUAUACGCAGAAUUUUUUAGGCAUUCAUUCUGAUUUAGGAAUACAUUUAAUAUCCCAUACAGUGGCUAUUUUUUAUUAAAGGGAUACUUUUUUUUUAAAAGAUACUACUAAUUUUUAAAAGACAUACCGGUAUAUCUUUGGCAAAAUAAAAAAAAAACAGAAGAAAUGGUCAAUAAUGUGUCAAGUAAGUGAAAAGUAACACCAAACUAGUAAGGGACACCCUGACAUGAUCAUACCACACUAAUUCAUUUGUCUUCUGUUAUUUCAUCAGUUACUUUUGAUAAGCAUGUACUCAAAUACAAGAUUCUUGUAAGCAGAAUCCAUGCAGGAGUGGGCACAAACAAGAUCACGAAUGCACCACUAAAUACAGGCUUUAAAUACUGUAUUUAGUCUCACUUUUUGGCCCAAACA